rnacentral:rRNA from 1 species
UACAGAGGGGGCAAGCGUUGUUCGGAAUUACUGGGCGUAAAGGGCGCGUAGGCGGCCUGCUAAGUCGAACGUGAAAUCCCUGGGCUCAACCCAGGAACUGCGUCCGAUACUGGUUGGCUUGAAUCCGGGAGAGGGAUGCGGAAUUCCAGGUGUAGCGGUGAAAUGCGUAGAUAUCUGGAGGAACACCGGUGGCGAAGGCGGCAUCCUGGACCGGUAUUGACGCUGAGGCGCGAAAGCUAGGGGAGCAAACGGG